GGGCCUAUAGCUCAGUUUAGGUCAGAGCGCACGCCUGAUAAGCGUGAGGUCGGUGGUUCGAGUCCACCUAGGCCCACCA
rnacentral:tRNA from 1 species